rnacentral:rRNA from 1 species
AGCUCCAAUAGCGUAUAUUAAAGUUGUUGCGGUAAAAAAGCUCGUAGUUGGAUUUCUGUUGAAGACCCUCGGUCCACUCUAUGAGUGUGUAUCUGGGGCCGUCUUCGGCAUCCCGUGGGAGAACGUGUCUGCGCUUAACUGCGUGGUGCGGCCUCUUCCACGCUUUUACUUUGAGGAAAUUCGAGUGUUUACGGCAGGCAUUGUCCGCUGUGAAGAUGUUAGCAUGGAAUAAUAAGAUAGGACCUCGGUCCCAUUUUGUUGGUUUCUGGAGCUGAGGUAUGCACGGUUAAUAGGAACAUUUGGGGGCAUUUGUAUCGGCCGGUCAGAGGUGGAAUUCUUGGAUUCGGUCGCGACAAACUACUGCGAAAGCAUUUGUCAAGGAUGUUUUCA